CCUGCUCAAUGAUAAUUUAAUAGCCGCUUUUAUAAGUGCUAAGGUAGCAUAAUCAUUAGUCUAUUAAUUAUAGAAUAGAAUGAAAGGAUUAACGAGUUAAGAACUUUAUUUUACCUUUAUCAUAAAACUAAUAUAAAAGUAAAAAAGCUUUUAUUAAAUGAAAAGACGACAAGACCCUUUAGAACUUAACUUAAAGUUAAACUGGGACGGUUAUCAUAAAAACUAAUUUUAAACCAUCUAAACAACUUAAAAACAAAUAUAAAAAGUUACCUAAGGGAUAACAGCAUAAUUUUAUAAAAAAGAUCUUAUAAAAUAUAAACAUUAUGACCUCGAUGUUGAAUUACUAUACUUUUAGUAGAAAAUUACUUUAAAGUAAGUCUGUUCGACUUUUAAAAAAGUACAU
rnacentral:rRNA from 1 species